AAGUCACAAAUUAUAUUCAAUUUGGCUACAUCUAUUUACUGUUUUAGCCAUUUUCUUUCACAUACUUUCAAACAUUUAAGAAUUGAAUAUUGGGUCCUCUUCUCCCAAUUUUUCGGAAAACACAUGACCCAUUCCUAAGCGCACUGUUGCCUUAAAAUACCAGCAGCCCAUUCUCCAAACUUUCCCCCAAAAUUUCCAAUUCACAACAAAUAACCCAGGCCCAACCCAUCCUUUCAAUUCUAUACCAAAACCCCAACCCCAGUUCAUCUUCUUCGCAAACGAGACCCAGAAACUCACGCCCAAAAUGAGAACCAAUCCGAACAAAAAACCAAUACUCGAUACUCGCUCCUCUUCCUCCUCCACGCGUGAAACCCAGAACUCCAAAAAGAAUUGAAACCCAGCAGAAAACAGACGAAUCCAAAGCAGACCCAAGCGCAGCGAUCCAGCAGCCUUGUCGUCAUCCUUCGCUGCCAGAAGGAGAAAUCUCAGCGCCUCCUCGUCCUUCCCUCAAAUCGAAUGGUUCUCCUUCUAUAUCCAUUGGAGAUUCGUUCCUAUUAGAGCUGGCAUCUUAUCCUCUAACGGAUUUGAAUUUCGAAAUGAAAUCCAUUCUGCCGUCCCCCCCCCCCUCUUUUGCACCUUAGUUUUCCCCUUUAAAUGCCUACUUUUCUUCUUUGUUAAAGGGUUGAAAGGGGGGGGGGGGGGAAAAUUGUUAGAGAAAUUGUUGCGAAUUUUCUUGGUUGGAGUUUUAAGUUGGAUUUUUUUUUAUUUAGCAAGGAAAUACAACAGAGCUUAAGCAAAAAAUAUUUUAAGUACAUACUAAGCAUAUUUUGAAAGAAGAGGAUAAUAGUUUCAGCGUGUGGGUUGUAAGUUUCUAUCCCGAUUCCCAUUUGGUUGUUCAUGUUCAAGCUUUUCCUGGUGAAGUCGCCUUAUGCUCUUUCUAUCCCUUGUUCGUUGUCUGAAAAAAGACUCCCGUUUUUCCUUGCGUGUUGAGGGAGCCAUAAAGGCUCAAGUCAUUUCCUCUUGAGUAGACCAACAAGUGGAACCGAAGAAUAAGUCUAUGAACUCGGCGUACAAGUGUUAGGAGCAGAUAUACGGAAAUGUAUGCACUACUAUACAUCUAGUGUAUACGGAAGAAGGAAAAUGGGCCUAAAGGACCCAAAUGCCAAAAAUUGUAUUUUGUUAUUUUGUGCCUAAUCCCUUGUCAUUUUAUUAUUAUUAUUUUGUUAGAAGUUUAGAACAGGUGAAAAAUUGGCCCUAAGGCCCACACAAAAAGUUAUUUCUUCUACAUUAGUUUAGGAUAGGUACAACUCAAAUGGUCCUAAGGCCCAAAACAAAAUGGAUCAUAAUACUGGUCCAAGCGGACAGAAAUCAGAUUUA